rnacentral:lncRNA from 1 species
GGACAGACACGGAAGGAGAAAUCUCUGAGAAGCUAGACAUAGAUACAGGGCUGGGAAGGGAGUAGAAAGGAGAGAGGGAGGGAUUUUGUGUAGGCCCUGGACCUGGCCUGAAGCAAGAUCAGGGCCAGUGCGCCCUGCCUGGCCUUCUGCCCACAGUCUGCAGAGCUCUGGCCUGUCCCAGUGUGCUGCCCAGCCCUGCUCUGUGUGCUGACUAAUUCUUAACUCAGACACUGAAGGGCGGGCAGCUGGAAGGGCUCAUCUCCCCCCAGAGGGCCUCAGCUUCCUCCAACAAAGAGAAUAAUAAGCAUUCUACAAGGGCUAAGAACUCAACUGCAUCUAAACGUUUUAAUCUGCCUGAGACUCCUAAACUCUCUCUCCUCGGAAACACAGCGGGUCAGUUCUUCAAGCUGAGCUGAGGGAGGAAAAGGUUUGCUCUUCCCAGAAACCCAUCUGCAGUGCUCUGGGGCUGAAGAGGGUGUGACCAUCACUCCUGUGCCAAGCUUUGCAGGUUGGAAUGAAGCAAGUGUGUGUGUGUGUGUGUGUGUGUGUGUGUGUGUGUGUGUGAGAGAGAGAGAGAGAGAGAGAGAGAGAGAGAGAGAGAGAGAGAGAGAGAGAGAGAUCCCAGGAGACCUUCCAGAGGGGAGUGCAGGAGGUUUCCACUCUGUUUCCUCAGGGCCCAGGCUGCUGUAUGUCUAAUUAAAGACAACAUCAUCAUUACCCACAACAGCAGCCAUUGAGUUCUCGGCUUCUGUUUCCUGCUAGUGGAAGUCCUCAACCUAACACCUUCCACCGCUCUCCUCUGGCUCCUUUUCCAGUUCCCAGAACCGACACCUCCACCACUCACUGCUAACUCCAGACCUCCAGCCCCUAGGGCCACAUCUUUAACUUUAGUUCCCCGAGUGCAGUUAGGCUACUUUUGCCUGAAUGAAAAUGGUCAAUGCUUCCCUGUAUCCACCCACCAGAUAGAAACAAAUAAAAUCACGACUUCAUUUUGGAUCUUUCUUCUCCUCCCACAUGUGCAUGAUGAACUCAGCCAUUCCUUCCUUCAGAACGUCAUUGUUCUGCCCUUCUGGUCCAUUUCCAUCUUAGCUCUCAACUUGGUUAUUUUUCAGUGCAUUCAUUUGGCAAAUGUUUAUCAAACAUCUCUUGGUGGGUCGAGCAUUGUACUAAAUAAAGGGAGCGAAUGCUAAUUCCAAAUUCUAACUUGGUAGGAGUUGUUCACAGCUUAAUAGAGAGUGACACAUAUCUAUGGCCUUCUCAUGUGGCAGAAAAGUCUUUCCCUCUGUGUUCCUGGCCCUGGAGAACGUGCCAGUUCAGUUCUUCUGAUCUUCCAAUAGGUUAUCAGAACCCGAUUUAUCCCCAAGGGCCUGUGUGUCUUAGCAGUGCCCUAUUUCAUAAUUCUUACAUCUCCCCCUCUAACUUUGUCACUUUAGUUCCACUUAUUUUUUCUCUUUUUCUUUUCUUUUUCUUUUUUUUCCUUCUGAGAUGGAGGUCUUAUUAUAUGUCCCAGGCAGCCUCAAACUCCCAGGUUCAAAUGAUCCUCCUACCUCAAUUUCCCAAGUAGCUGGGACUUAUAGUUAUGUUGGUAUUGUUGGCUCUGGUGCCAUUUCUUAAAGAAAUUUAGAAUGUUAUUAAGAAGAAUACUUCCAAGUCCCCUUCCUGCAAAUAUGUUUGCUAGCAGAGUGACCCCACUGUGUUGAGAGCCAAUCGUGGGCUAUCAUUCAUUCAUGUUAGGCAAGUGGACUACAUUGGCAUCGCAGCCUAGUGAAUAGGAGAAUCUGGUGUCUGGGAACUUCCAGUGGACAUUUCCUCUGGCUGACUGCCCAGACACAUUGUGAGCCCUAUUCAAGCUCUGCCCCAGGUCCCACACAGCACCAGAGAUGGGGUGACCUGCUGUAGCACACAGUCCUUCUGAGAUGGGUGUGGCCUACCAAGAUGCCAAUCAACCUGCUGACUGCAAGACAUCACAAAGCAAGACUCCACCCCUGAAACCUUAUCCCUGCCUUUGAUGUACCCCUUAAAUAACCACAGGAGCCAUUUUCUAAUUGUCUAGCUCCAGCUCCUGUGUGGACAGGCUCCAUCUUUUGAAACUCUUUCCAACUUUGUCUUUUGUUCUUCACUAAUUAUUCUUUUUUAAAUUUUUUAAAAAUUUUCAUGGAGAAUUUUACUUUAAAAAUUUUAUUUAAUUAGGUAUAUGUGACAGCAGAAUGCAUUUUGAUUCAUUGUACACAAAUGCAGCACAACUUUACAUUUCUAUGGUUGUACACAAUGUAGCGUCGCACCAUAUGUGCAGUCAUACCUAGGGUAAUGAUGUCUAUCUUAUUCCACCAUUUUUCCUACCCCCAUGCUCCCUCCCCUUUGCCCCAUUGAAGUUCCUCCAUUUUUCCCACGUCCACCCCAUUAUGGAUCAGCAACCACUCAUCAGAGAGAACAUUCAGCCUUUGAUUUUUUGGAAUUGGCUUACUUCACUUAGCAUGAUAUUCUCUAACUCCAUCCAUUUCCUUGCAAAUGCCAUAAUUUUAUUCUCUUUUAUUGCUGAGUAAUAUUCCAUUGUGUAUAUAUACCACAGUUUCUUUAUUCAUUCAUCUAUUGAAGGGCAUCUAGGUUGGUUCCACAGGGUAGCUAUUGUGAAUUGAGCAGCUAUAAACAUUGAUGUGGCUGCAUUACUAUAGUAUGCUGAUUUUAAAUCCUUUGGGUAUAGGCUGAGGAGUGGGAUAGUUGAGUCAAAUGGUGGUUCUAUUCUACAUUUUUUAAGGAAUCUCCAUACUGCUUUCCAGAAUGGUUGCACCAAUUUACAGUCCCACCAGCAAUAAAUGAGUGUGCCUUUCCCCCCACAUCCUCACAAACAUUUAUUGUUUCUGUAUUCUUUUAUUUUAAAAUAUUUUAUUAGUUGUUGGUGGACCUUUAUUUAUUUUUAUGUGGUACUGAGAAUCGAACCCAGUGCCUCACAUGCUAGGCAAGUGCUCUACCACUGUGCCACAACUUCAGCCCUGUUGUCUGUAUUCUUGAUAACUGCCAUUCUGACUGGUGUGAGAUGAAAUCUUAGAGUAGGUUUGAUGUUGAACAUUUUUCAUAUACAUGUUGAUUGAUUGCAUAUCUUCUUCUGAAAAGUGUCUGUUCAGCUCCUUAGCCCAUUUAUUGAUUGGGUUGUUUGUUUUGGUGUUAAGUUUUUUUUAGUUCUUUAUAUAUCCUGGAGAUUAGUUCUCUAUCUGAUGUGCGUGUGGCAAAAAUUUGCUCCCAAAAUGUAGGCUCUCUCUUCAUCUCAUUGAUUCUUUUGCUGAAAAGAAACUUUUUGGUUGAGUCCAUCACAUUUAUUAAUUCUUGAUUUUAUUUCUUGUACUUUAGGAGUCUUGUUAAGGAAGUUGGGGCCUAAUCUGAUGUCAUGAAGAUUUGGGCCUACUUUUUCCUCUAUUAGGCACAGGGUCUCUGAUUCAAUUCCUAUACAGAUUCAAUGCAAUUCCAAUUAAAAUCCCAUUGUCAUUUCUUACAGAAAUAGAAAAGCAAUCAUGAAAUUCAUUUGGAAAAAAUAAGAGACCCAGAAUAGCCAAAGCAAUCCUUAUCAAGAAGAAUGAAACAGGAGGCAUCACAAUACCAGACCUUAAAGUAACUACAAAGCUAAAGUAGCAAAACAGUAUGGUAUUGGCACCAGAAUAGACAUGUAGACUAAUGGUACAGAAUAGAAGAUAUAUAGAGAAGCCCACAUAAAUACAAUUAUCUCAUACUAGACAAAGACACCAAAAACAUACAUUGGAGAAAAGAUAGCAUCUUCAACUAAUGGUGCUGGGAGAACUGGAAAUCCAUAUGCAGCAAAAUGAAAACAAACCCCUACCUCUCACCAUGCACAAAAUUUAACUUCACUAAUUAUUGUAGACUUUAAUACCUCUCUAGAGGUAUUUUUAGACUUUGAUACUUCUCACCAUGCACAAAAUUUAACUUUACUAAUUAUUCUAGACUUUAAUUUCUUAGGUGGCUUAUAUCCCCCUGAGCAGGAAGAAGAACCCCCUAAUGAGGUGCUGGAUGCCUCCCCAUAGUAGGGCUCUCAAAGCGUGAGGGAUGUCAAGACUGGAGGGGACAGACAUGCUAACUGCCAGGCCUGUAGGUUCUCUAAGCUCAGUACUUGCAUCAAAUCAGGCUUAGGAUGGGUUGUUUCAGAAAGCACAGAUAUCAGUAACUUACUGUUCCCCCAAAGCUCCUGUGUUCAUUCAGGAAUGUGAGGAGGUGGAAUACAAGAGCUAUAAUCUAAUCAGUCCAUCCUAGUUAGAAUGGACUAACUGGAUGGUAACUGUAGGCAGGUGGGGUGGGGCUGGAGGAGGUGGGCCACGGGAACCUGCCCUGGAAGGGUGAAUCUUCCCUAUAGCCCCUCUCCUUGCCUUGUCUGCUUCCUGGCUGCCCUGAGAUGAGCAGCUUCCCUCCACUGUAGUCUUUCCACCAUGAUGGAGUUGGCUGACCAUGGACUGAACCUCUGAAAUUGUGAGCCCUCAAUAAACGUUUUCUCCUAUAAUUUGAUCUUGUUGGGUAUUUUGGUCACAGUGACAAAGCUGAUUAGCACACCUAUAAACUACAUCUUUGAACUAUUUAUCCUUAAUAUAAUAAGGAACCCUGGGGCAAAUUUAUUCUAUAUUUCACUUAAGACAGUUUGUCACUUACAAUUCAAAGGACCCACACUAAUAGCAAUAAAUUACCUUGAACAUUUGUAUAUUACUUUACAGCCUAUUGUUUAACCCUUACAAUGUUUUCCUAGGGUAGGCAACAUAAUUGUACCCUUUAUAAAACAAGAAAGCUCAGAGAAAUAGAGGCUGCC